rnacentral:rRNA from 1 species
CCUACGGGAGGCAGCAGUGGGGAAUUUUCCGCAAUGGGCGAAAGCCUGACGGAGCAACGCCGCGUGAGGGAUGAAGGCCUCUGGGCUGUAAACCUCUUUUAUCAAGGAAGAAGAUCUGACGGUACUUGAUGAAUAAGCCACGGCUAAUUCCGUGCCAGCAGCCGCGGUAAUACGGGAGUGGCAAGCGUUAUCCGGAAUUAUUGGGCGUAAAGCGUCCGCAGGCGGUCUUGUAAGUCUGUCGUUAAAGCGUGGAGCUUAACUCCAUUUCGGCGGUGGAAACUACAAGACUAGAGUGUGGUAGGGGCAGAGGGAAUUCCCGGUGUAGCGGUGAAAUGCGUAGAUAUCGGGAAGAACACCAGUGGCGAAGGCGCUCUGCUGGGCCAUAACUGACGCUCAUGGACGAAAGCUAGGGGAGCGAAAGGGAUUAGAUACCCCUGUAGUCCUAGCCGUAAACGAUGAACACUAGGUNUCGGGGAAUCGACCCCUCGGUGUCGUAGCUAACGCGUUAAGUGUUCCGCCUGGGGUAGUACGCNCGCAGUGUGAACGUACAAGAAGUAGUACGGCGUGAGACGUGCCGACGGACGACGACGAGGGAGUAGG